GAGCAAACGAAGCCCUGAACGAAAUCAGAGAAAGAAGAUCAAACUAUGAAUCUGAGAAUAUGAAAGAGGACAAAAACAUGUUGAAUAGAUUUGGCGGAUAACAAAGCCAUCGAGUUUUGGAUCCUACAUUUGGCAAGAGCCUACCCAAGAAAUAGGUAUGAUAUUGUCAUCGUCUCUCUGCAUUAAAUUGAUGACACUUUGAUGAUGAUAUAUUUAAACAUAUUGGAAUCAUGAUACAUAUAUAUAUAUAUAUAUAUCUUCUCAUACUAUUUUUUCGAGGGAGUGUUUUGAAGCUGUCCACGAAACAUGAUAUAUCUUCUCGAUGGAAAUUCCAAUAAUUAUUGACGGUUGAAUCAUCACAAACUUCACUAACUCAGAACAUAAACGAGAACCGGUCGAAAACCAAAGCAGCUUUUUUCGAUGUAAUCAGAAGUGGAUCUACAGCCUUUGCCAACUAUCUGAAACCAAACUGUGUUAUGUGGGUAUCAAGUUUGUUGCCUGAGUUAGUGAAGUUUGUGAUCUGUGGGUAAAUUUAUUUGUGAAGUUUAUUAUACCCAACUAUCAAUUUGCAACCUGACCCGGUCAAGUGCUUAAAGAAAAGCAACAAGAGACUUGAGGAAAACUUGAUUUUUGGAACUCAACUCCAAGAUUGAUUUGAGCCGGUAAAGAAGAAAAUCAAAGCAACCACCCCAUUCAAUAUUUUGCAUCAUGAACGAGCCUCUCAAUCUCAUGACGGAUACUUCUCCACUCUCUCUCUCUCUCUCUCUCUCUCUCUCUCUCUCUCUCUCUCUCUCUCUCUCUCUCUCUCUCUCUAUGAUGUUAUUUUAACGGGUUUCCGCAUGUCUUCUGUUGCAACUUUUUCAGGGGAGACUGUUUGGGUAAAAUGAACAGAUUUCUAAUCCUUUCGCUUAUUUCCCCUUUCAUUCUAUGGCAGAAGCUCAAUUUUGAUGAAUAGUUCAAGCUGAUGUCAUGGCUGGACUUAAUG